rnacentral:rRNA from 1 species
CCUACGGGAGGCAGCAGUAGGGAAUAUUGCUCAAUGGGGGAAACCCUGAAGCAGCAACGCCGCGUGGAGGAUGAAGGUUUUCGGAUUGUAAACUCCUUUUGUUAGAGGAGAUAAUGACGGUAUCUAACGAAUAAGCACCGGCUAACUCCGGGCCAGCAGCCGCGGUAAUACGGAGGGUGCAAGCGUUACUCGGACUCACUGGGCGUAAAGGGCGCGUAGGCGGGAUAGCAAGUCAGAUGUGAAAUCCUAUGGCUUAACCAUAGAACUGCAUUUGAAACUGUUAUUCUAGAGUAUGGGAGAGGUAGGUGGAAUUCUUGGUGUAGGGGUAAAAUCCGUAGAGAUCAAGAGGAAUACUCAUGGCGAAGGCGACCUGCUAGAACAUAACUGACGCUGAUGCGCGAAAGCGUGGGGAGCAAACAGGAUUAGAUACCCCUGUAGUC